rnacentral:rRNA from 1 species
UGAGCAACCUGCCCUUGACUCUGGGAUAACACCGGGAAACCGGAGCUAAUACAGGAUACGAACCGCACAGGCAUCUGAGCGGUUGGAAAGAACUUCGGUCAAGGAUGGGCUCGCGGCCUAUCAGCUUGUCGGUGAGGUAACGGCCCACCAAGGCGACGACGGGUAGCCGGCCUGAGAGGGCGACCGGCCACACUGGGACUGAGACACGGCCCAGACUCCUACGGGAGGCAG